UACGAAGGGUGCUAGCGUUGUUCGGAAUCACUGGGCGUAAAGCGCGCGUAGGCGGCGCAUUAAGUCAGAGGUGAAAGCCUGGAGCUCAACUCCAGAACUGCCUUUGAAACUGAUGCGCUGGAGUGUAUGAGGGGAUAGCGGAAUUCCGAAUGUAGAGGUGAAAUUCGUAGAUAUUCGGAGGAACACCGGUGGCGAAGGCGGCUAUCUGGCAUACAACUGACGCUCUGGCGCGAAAGCGUGGGGAUCAAACAGG
rnacentral:rRNA from 1 species